GACGUAGGGUGCGAGCGUUGUCCGGAUUUAUUGGGCGUAAAGAGCUCGUAGGCGGCUCGUCGCGUCGACCGUGAAAACCGGCAGCUUAACUGUCGGCUUGCGGUUGAUACGGGCGGGCUAGAGUUCGGUAGGGGAGACUGGAAUUCCUGGUGUAGCGGUGAAAUGCGCAGAUAUCAGGAGGAACACCGGUGGCGAAGGCGGCAUCCUGGACCGGUAUUGACGCUGAGGCGCGAAAGCUAGGGUAGCAAACGGG
rnacentral:rRNA from 1 species